AGCUUUAUAGUCAAUAAUGACAUUAGACUGCAAUUCUAAAAGAGUAAAAAAUUACUAAGGCUU
rnacentral:tRNA from 1 species